rnacentral:rRNA from 1 species
UACGUAGGGGGCAAGCGUUUGUCCGGAUUUAUUGGGCGUAAAGAGCGUGUAGGCGGCUUUACAGGUCCGUUGUGAAAACUCGAGGCUCAACCUCGAGACGCCGGUGGAAACCGUAAGGCUAGAGUCCGGAAGAGGAGAGUGGAAUUCCUGGUGUAGCGGUGAAAUGCGCAGAUAUCAGGAGGAACACCCGUGGCGAAAGCGGCUCUCUGGGACGGUACUGACGCUGAGACGCGAAAAGCGUGGGGAGCAAACAGG